rnacentral:pre_miRNA from 1 species
GGGGAGGCCGGAUCCUGGGCUGUGUCCCGGCGCCCUGUGCUCCGAGCCUGCGCUGGUGGAUUCGCGCUCCGGCCCUGCAGCCCCCU